rnacentral:rRNA from 1 species
CCCGGAUGUUAGCGGCGGACGGGUGAGUAACACGUGGGUAACCUGCCUGUAAGACUGGGAUAACUCCGGGAAACCGGAGCUAAUACCGGAUAGUUCCUUGAACCGCAUGGUUCAAGGAUGAAAGACGGUUUCGGCUGUCACUUACAGAUGGACCCGCGGCGCAUUAGCUAGUUGGUGGGGUAAUGGCUCACCAAGGCGACGAUGCGUAGCCGACCUGAGAGGGUGAUCGGCCACACUGGGACUGAGACACGGCCCAGACUCCUACGGGAGGCAGCAGUAGGGAAUCUUCCGCAAUGGACGAAAGUCUGACGGAGCAACGCCGCGUGAGUGAUGAAGGUUUUCGGAUCGUAAAGCUCUGUUGUUAGGGAAGAACAAGUGCGAGAGUAACUGCUCGCACCUUGACGGUACCUAACCAGAAAGCCACGGCUAACUACGUGCCAGCAGCCGCGGUAAUACGUAGGUGGCAAGCGUUGUCCGGAAUUAUUGGGCGUAAAGGGCUCGCAGGCGGUUUCUUAAGUCUGAUGUGAAAGCCCCCGGCUCAACCGGGGAGGGUCAUUGGAAACUGGGAAACUUGAGUGCAGAAGAGGAGAGUGGAAUUCCACGUGUAGCGGUGAAAUGCGUAGAGAUGUGGAGGAACACCAGUGGCGAAGGCGACUCUCUGGUCUGUAACUGACGCUGAGGAGCGAAAGCGUGGGGAGCGAACAGGAUUAGAUACCCUGG